rnacentral:lncRNA from 1 species
GCUUUGCCCACAUGUUUCCAUAUACGCAGGUCGUUUCUGGAAGGCCACGGGGAGGCUGUGGACAGCAAUCAGUCCCUCCAGAGAUGAGCAGGAAGGAGAUGUUUUACUUAAGUUCUCACCAUGAGCAUGUAUUACUUUUGUAACACAGUAACAGUUUAACAUGUAAUUAAGCUCUGAAACAAGAAGCUUUAACUCUUAUGACCACCCCAACUAACCGAAGAGGAACGUGGCUCCUGGGCCUCACCUCCUCCAGGAAGUCCUUCUACAGGCCCAGCGCCCCAGCUACACCACCUUCCCCAGAUGGAAAGGAGCACCCUGCCUGCCGCCUUUCCUCAUCUGCCUCUCCCGUGAAGCUAGGAGGGCCUGGACGGAGGGGCCUGUCUGACUCAUCCCGGAUCCCCGGUUCCGGCAAGACGCCCGGCACUGCUGAGUGAAGGAAUGAGGCUCGGAGAGGUUACAGCAGCGGCCUUGACCUCUGGAGAUCACAGAGUACGUGGUUUGGCAGGGUGAGACCCAGUCUCUGGGCUCUAACCUCACCACACCCUGACUUCUGUAGCAUGGCUCCCUCCCACUCACUAAAAAUGUCCCAAAGAGGCCACCUAGAUGUCACUACACGGCCUCCAGCCCUUGUGUAGGUGUUGUGGCAUUCAGGUUUGGGAGCAAAGAUUGUUCAGGGCCCGGGGGUAGCUGGAAAUGCCCAUGUGUACAUUAGGAAAGCCAUAAAAGAAGGGUAAUUUGCCCCUUUGGCCAAG